rnacentral:rRNA from 1 species
UCCUACGGGAGGCAGCAGUGGGGAAUAUUGGACAAUGGGCGCAAGCCUGAUCCAGCAAUGCCGCGUGUGUGAAGAAGGCCUGCGGGUUGUAAAGCACUUUAAGCAGGGAGGACGGGUUGCGGGGCUAAUACCCUUGUGACUGACGUACCUGCA